rnacentral:rRNA from 1 species
GGUUGACCUCGGAUCAGGUAGGGAUACCCGCUGAACUUAAGCAUAUCAAUAAGCGGAGGAAAAGAAACCAACAGGGAUUGCCCCAGUAACGGCGAGUGAAGCGGCAAGAGCUCAAAUUUGAAAGCUGGCUCCUUCG